rnacentral:rRNA from 1 species
GACGAACGCUGGCGGCGUGCUUAACACAUGCAAGUCGAACGGAAAGGCCCUGCUUUUGUGGGGUGCUCAAGUGGCGAACGGGUGAGUAACACGUGAGUAACCUGCCCUUGACUUUGGGAUAACUUCAGGAAACUGGGGCUAAUACCGGAUAGGAGCUCCUGCUGCAUGGUGGGGGUUGGAAAGUUUCGGCGGUUGGGGAUGGACUCGCGGCUUAUCAGCUUGUUGGUGGGGUAGUGGCUUACCAAGGCUUUGACGGGUAGCCGGCCUGAGAGGGUGACCGGCCACAUUGGGACUGAGAUACGGCCCAGACUCCUACGGGAGGCAGCAGUGGGGAAUAUUGCAAAAUGGGCGGAAGCCUGAUGCAGCAACGCCGCGUGCGGGAUGACGGCAUUCGGGUUGUAAACCGCUUUCGCCUGUGACGAAGCGUGAGUGACGGUAAUGGGUAAAGAAGCACCGGCUAACUACGUG